rnacentral:rRNA from 1 species
GGAUCAUUACCGAGUUUACAACUCCCAAACCCCUGUGAACAUACCUUAAUGUUGCCUCGGCGGAUCAGCCCGCGCCCCGUAAAACGGGACGGCCCGCCAGAGGACCCAAACUCUAAUGUUUCUUAUUGUAACUUCUGAGUAAAACAAACAAAUAAAUCAAAACUUUCAACAACGGAUCUCUUGGUUCUGGCAUCGAUGAAGAACGCAGCAAAAUGCGAUAAGUAAUGUGAAUUGCAGAAUUCAGUGAAUCAUCGAAUCUUUGAACGCACAUUGCGCCCGCUGGUAUUCCGGCGGGCAUGCCUGUUCGAGCGUCAUUUCAACCCUCAAGCCCCCGGGUUUGGUGUUGGGGAUCGGCUCUGCCUUCUGGCGGCGCCGCCCCCGAAAUACAUUGGCGGUCUCGCUGCAGCCUCCAUUGCGUAGUAGCUAACACCUCGCAACUGGAACGCGGCGCGGCCAUGCCGUAAAACCCCAACUUCUGAAUGUUGACCUCGGAUCAGGU